UGAGCAGAUCCCUCCAGGUGAGCAGGUCCAGGUGAACAGAUCCCUCAAGGUGAGCAGGUCCAGGUGAGCAGAUCCUGGGAGUGCUCAGGUGAACAGAUCCCUCAAGGUGAGCAGAUCCAGGGGCAAAGAUCCCUCAAGGUGAGCAGAUCCAUGUGAGCAGAUCCAUGUGAGCAGAUCCAGGUGAGCAGGUCCCUCAAGGUGAGCAGAUUCCACAAGGUGAGCAGGUCCAGGUGAGCAGGUCCCUCAAGGUGAGCAGAUCCAGGUGAGCAGAUCCAUGUGCAGGUCCAGGUGAGCAGGUCCCUCCAGGUGAGCAGACCCCUCAAGGUGAGCAGAUCCAGGUGAGCAGAUCCCUCAAGGUGAGCAGGUCCACGUGAGCAGAUCCAGGGGCACAGAUCCCUCAAGGUGAGCAGGUCCAGGCGCACAGAUCUCUCAAGGUGAGCAGAUCCCUCAAGGUGAGCAGGUCCAGGUGAGCAGAUCCCUCAAGGUGAGCAGGUCCAGGUGAGCAGAUCCCACAGUCUGUAGGGUCCAGGUGAGCAGAACGUAGGAUUUGGGGCACAGACCCAAGCAGGUGAGCAGAUUCCAGAAUCCAAGAGCUUCCAGGUGAGCAAAUCCACAGGCAGCCCCACCCCACAGCCCCCUUUGCCCCCCUCCUGCCUCUUCCAGGCUGGAAUUGCUGCUGGGCCAGGUUGAUCUCACCUGGCUGAAGCCAAAAAAGAGGCAAAAGCCCCAGAAACGAGAAGUUUCACCCCAAGACAGACCCCAGGGCUGCAGGAAGGUCCGGAGCACAGGUGGGUUUUCCAUGAAUCCCAGUCCAAGGAAGGGCUGGAGGGACCAGGUGAGCCUGGAGAACCUGAAUCCAUCCCAGUCUGACCAGUCUGAUGCCAGUGGAGAGCCCAGAGCCAGAAGGACACAGGUGAGCAGGAAGCACCUGAGGAGCAGCACAGGGAGCUCCAGAGCAGCAGGAGCAGCAGGAGCUGACACCUGGGCACACCUGCAGGGCCCCGUGGGAUGGAUCCCGAGGGCAGGAAUGGCAGGAACAGCUCUUUGGGAAACACAGCCAGGUGAGGGUCACCUGCAGGGAUGGAUGGAGCUCACCUGGGAUGGGCAAGGAGGCAGCUGAGAGCCCCAGGCCCAGGUGACAUCGCACCCAUGGGGUAACAGGGACACUCCUGCACAUCCCAAAUCCUGCUCCUGGAGGGGCAGCUCCAACCCCCCAGCAGGGCAUGAACAUCCCAGAGGGUUCCCACAGGUACAGGUGAUCACUUCCAGGUGAUGGAGGAGGUGAAGUUGGUUCAACCCCCCAAAAUGUUCCAGGUGAGUUUGGGAAUUCCAGUCCUGGGUCUCUUGUGCCAGUUCCAGGUGUUCCCCAAUCCAUCCCAGCUGCAGGGGAGUGGGAGCAUCACCUGGAUGAGGUGGGAUGGGAGGCAGCCCAGUGAGACAUUCAUGAAACAAACAGCAAUUAGGGAAAAAGGACUUUUCCCUUAAAAACAAGGAAAAUGGAGGCAGCCAGGGGGGACAGAGCUGCCACGGGACCCAGGAGGUGCAGCUCAGGUGAGUCCUGGCACAGGUGAUCUCUGCCAGGUGGGAUGGAGAACAGGAAGGCUCCCAGAGGUGCAGCUCAGGUGAGUCCUGGCACAGGUGAGCCCCACCAGCUGGGAUGGAGAACAGGAA